UGUCACAUACGCAUGCGCGGUUUGGAAUCCACUCACGCAUCGGCAUCACGCCUGAGCUGAUCGAUAAAAGGGAAGGCCUUUGCUCUGAACUCUGACCUUCCCCAUCGAGGCGAGAUUUCUCUUCUCCAUCUUCCAAUCUCCCCUCAUCCUCUCCUUCACCAAUCACCAGCCGCAUCCUUCGACCGGCGUUCCCUGUUCCGAUGGAGGUUGCCUACCCGUUUGACGCCAAGACCGGCAUCAUGUCCGGCGGCGUGAAGCGCGCGCGGGAGAUGGAGAUCCUUCAGCAGCGGUUCCAGGCAGAGCUCGUCGCCGUCCGUGGC
rnacentral:lncRNA from 1 species